rnacentral:rRNA from 1 species
AACCUGCGGAAGGAUCAUCA